rnacentral:misc_RNA from 1 species
GGCACCGUCAUCCUCCGUCAAAUCGUCACGAAAUUGGUUACGAUCCUUGGCCAUGCGACUGUCGGGCCCUCCCGCGGCCCUGCGAAUCAUUGCGUAAAGAUUAACAGAAGCUGGGGUCUAUGCGCGCGGCGGGAAUGUCCAAAACGCUUUUGUCCCUCGGCGCUCUCGGGUAAGACGGCCCCGGCGCGCCUUCGCGUGCGGUAUAGGGAAAACGCAUGUCUGGCAGAACAACCCUCACGAUCGUACUUGCAGCGGGCGAGGGCACGCGCAUGCGUUCCCGCCUGCCGAAGGUGCUGCAUCCG